rnacentral:siRNA from 1 species
GGUUCUGGCGCCGGUUCUGG